rnacentral:rRNA from 1 species
ACGCGCGCUGGCGGCGUGCUUAACCCAUGCAAGUCGCACGGAAAGGCCCUGCUUGCAGGGUACUCGAGUGGCGAACGGGUGAGUAACACGUGGGUGAUCUGCCCUGCACUUCGGGAUAAGCUUGGGAAACUGGGUCUAAUACCGGAUAGGAACCAUCUUUAGUGUGGUGGUUGGAAAGUUUUUUCGGUGUAGGAUGAGCUCGCGGCCUAUCAGCUUGUUGGUGGGGUAAUGGCCUACCAAGGCGGCGACGGGUAGCCGGCCUGAGAGGGUGUACGGCCACAUUGGGACUGAGAUACGGCCCAGACUCCUACGGGAGGCAGCAGUGGGGAAUAUUGCACAAUGGGCGCAAGCCUGAUGCAGCGACGCCGCGUGGGGGAUGAAGGCCUUCGGGUUGUAAACUCCUUUCGCUAGGGACGAAGCUUUGUUGUGACGGUACCUAGAUAAGAAGCACCGGCUAACUACGUG